UCUGGUCGAGCUCGCCGGGGACGCCGCAGCUCGCCGCUGCAACGCCAACCAUAGGAAUGGGCGGGAUCCACCAGCCCUCCGUCCGGCUCGACGUCCACGCCCCAGGGUCCAACAUGCAGGCCUGCAGUGCAGGACGCCGCCGUGAGUCACCUCAUUUUUCCGCAAACUUUUGGACCGAGGCCGCCUUCCUCUGUUCCGUCAGCUGCCGUUGCAACGCCACCGCGGUCGUCCUCCUCCCCGAGUAACUCCAGGAACCAUGACGGGCUCCGCGUCUCCUCUGGACCAAGGAUUCGAAGCCACAAGUCUCUCCUACUUCUUCCUCGACACUGACUGCCAUUGCUGCCGUCCUGAAUUUGCUGUCAUUGGUCCCCGUGCCAUCGGGCAUCGCCAACAGCAGGGUGAGAAGCUGCCACUGCCUUCUUGUGCCUUCUUUUCUUUGUCAGCGUCAUUUCUCUCAUUCUAGCCGUUGCUGGAGAUGGUUGUGGCGCUGCCACCUGAGACCAUUUUGGUCCAGGCCACAUGGUUAGGCCACGAGCUUGUUGCUGCUUACUGCUGUUUGAUGCUGCUACUUCUGUUGUUUGUUGUUUGUUGGCUGCUCGCUAUUGCUCUGCUUGCUGCUGCUCGUGGGCUGCCUGUACUUCAGAGAAAGAGAGAGUUUUUUGCUAUACAGAGUACUAUAUUAUGUUGAACCCUACUGUUCAUCAAUCCA